ACAUGCAACUGCUCCUUAAACCCUAAUCACCUCUCCUUGCUUUUACCAUUACAAAACCUGCCCUCCCAUUCUCCUUCACCAAAAAAUUUCUCUUCCAAUCUUUGUUUCUUUUAUUUAACAUUAAACCAUCAAUCUAAUUCUGCUUGCUUUGAACUUAACAACUCCCCAUGUCCUCCUUACAGAUAAAGAAAAACUACAGGUGCGUCCCUUCGCUGCAGCAGUUCUACGGCGGGGGCCCUUUUGCUGUCUCAUCUGACGGUUCCUUCAUUGCUUGCUCAAACGGGGACGCCAUCAAGAUUGUGGAUUCACCAAACGCAUCGAUAAAAGCCAGCAUAGAGGUCGAUACAGAUGCGGGUGUCACCGCCUUAGCUCUUAGCCCCGAUGAUAAAUUUCUUUUUUCUGCUGGCCAUAGCAGGCUUAUAAGGGUCUGGGACUUGUCCACUUUCAAAUGCGUCCGCUCUUGGAAGGGCCAUGAUGGUCCUGUGAUGGCCAUGGCUUGCCAUGCUUCUGGAGGAUUGCUUGCAACUGCAGGAGCUGAUAGGAAAGUACUUGUUUGGGAUGUUGAUGGUGGCUUCUGUACUCAUUACUUUAAAGGGCAUAAAGAUGUCGUAACUACUCUCAUGUUCCAUCCUGAUACCAAUAAAACUCUGCUUUUCUCUGGAAGUGCUGAUGCAACUGUAAGAGUUUGGGAUCUUUUAGCAAAGAAGUGUUUCGCCACAUUGGAAAGACAUUUCUCAUCCCUGACCUCUAUGGCAGUGUCUGAAGAUGGAUGGACAUUGCUUACUGCUGGAAGAGAUAAGGUUGUAAACCUGUGGGAUCUUCAUGACUAUGUCUUCAAGAUGACAGUACCAACUUAUGAAGUGCUGGAAGGUUUGUGUGUAGUUAAAUCUGGGACCGAGUUAGCUUCAUUUCUGGGUUCAUGCAAUCUGCAAAGUGGGAAGAGGAGAGACAGAUCAUCAUCAAUUUAUUUUAUCACAGUUGGUGAACGUGGAAUUGUGCGAAUGUGGGAUUCUGAACGUGCAGUUUGCUUGUAUGAGCAAAAGUCCUCGGAUGUUACUGUCUCCUCUGACACAGAUGAUUCACCGAGAGGCUUCACUGCUGCUGUUAUCCUUCCCUUAGAUCAAGGGUUGCUUUGUGUGACUGUUGAUCAUCAGUUUCUGUUCUACUCACUAGUUGUACACCUGGAAGAGAAAUUCAAGUUAAUGCUGAGCAAGAGGCUUGUUGGGUAUAACGAAGAGAUUCUUGACAUGAGGUUUCUGGGCGAGGAGGAAAAGUUUCUCGCUGUUGCUACAAAUCUUGAACAGGUUCAAGUGUAUGAAUUGGAAUCCAUGUCAUGCUCCUAUGUACUGGCAGGCCAUACUGAAAUUGUUUUGUGCCUCGACACCUGUGUAUCAAGCUCAGGAAGGCCACUUCUUGUAACUGGAAGCAAGGAUAACAGUGUAAGAUUGUGGAAUUCAGAGAGCAUAAAUUGCAUUGGUGUUGGCAUGGGACACAUGGGAGGUGUUGGAGCUGUUGCUUUUUCAAAGAAGUGGAAGAAUUUCUUUGUUAGUGGUAGUAGCGAUCGUACCAUCAAGGUGUGGAGUACAGAUGGUCUCUCAGAUGAUGCUGACCAGCCUAUAAAUUUGAAAGCAAAAGCUGUGGUGGCAGCCCAUGACAAGGAUAUAAAUUCUCUGGCUAUUGCACCAAAUGAUACUCUAGUUUGUAGCGGUUCACAGGACCGGACAGCUUGUGUAUGGAGGCUGCCAGAUCUGGUAUCUGUAGUUAUACUUAAAGGGCAUAAAAGAGGAAUAUGGUCAGUAGAGUUUUCACCAGUUGAUCAGUGUGUCAUAACAGCAUCUGGUGAUAAAACAAUAAAGAUGUGGGCUAUAGCUAAUGGUUCAUGCUUGAAAACAUUUGAAGGACACACAUCAAGUGUGUUAAGAGCAUCAUUUCUUACUCGUGGCACUCAAUUUGUUUCGUGUGGUGCUGAUGGUUUGGUAAAGCUGUGGACAGUCAAAACAAAUGAAUGCAUUGUUACAUAUGAUCAACAUGAGGACAAGGUUUGGGCCUUGGCUAUUGGAAGAAAGACAGAAAUGUUUGCAACUGGUGGUGGUGAUGCUGUUGUUAAUCUGUGGUAUGAUUCAACUGCUUCAGAUAAAGCGGAAGCUUUCCGUAAAGAGGAGGAAGGGGUAUUGAGAUGUCAAGAAUUGGAAAAUGCUGUGUUAGAUGCUGACUACAAUAAAUCUAUCCAAAUAGCUUUUGAACUUCGCAGGCCUCAUAAACUUUUCGAGUUGUUUGCUGAACUCUGCAGGAAGGAUGGCGGCAAACAGAUAGAGACAGCCCUCUGAGCUCUUGGCAAGGAAGAAAUUCAUCUACUUUUUGAGUAUAUUCGUGAGUGGAAUACAAAGCCAAAAUUUUGUCAUGUUGCACAAUAUGUUUUGUUUGGAGUUUUCAACAUCUUUCCUCCCACUGAGAUUCUUGAGAUAAGAGGCAUUGGGGAACUUCUUGAAGGUCUUAUCCCAUAUUCCCAGAGGCAUUUCAGCAGGAUUGACAGGCUUGUGAGAAGCACCUUUUUGCUCGACUACACCCUACAUGGAAUGUCAGUUAUUGAACCAGAUACUAAUGCAACAGAAAUGAAUGAUGCUGAUAAUAAGCUUUUAGUAGAAAAAGGUGAUCAAGAGCAAGAGUUGACUUCAGAAAUGUUGAAAGAGAAGGCUCUCUCAAAGAAACGGAAACCAAACAAAUCUAAAGAUACUUCACGUAAGAAAGUCAAGGGUGCUGCUUACACAAGUCUAGCUCCAAUUCCGUUGAAGGUAUAGAUGCAUAGCACAAUUCAUAUGGCUGCAGCACUUUGAUCUAUUUGUUUUGGCUUACAAAUUGGGGUUUUGCUUUUACUGAAGAUAAUAUUUUUGACCAAAGAUAAUUGAAGAGAAUGUGUUCCAUAUUUCCUCAAAAAAUUUAAAAUAGGUUUUAAAUUCCACACUAGCUUAAUUCAAUUUUGUAGAUGACAUGCACUCAUUGUAACAUAGACGUGUGCAAAAUCAAGUUUCUACGAGAGCAUGUUGACUCAUUGCUUUUUGACCAGUCCAAAACUGAAGAUUUAUUUCCCUCGUCUAUGUAAGGGUGGUACAAGAAAGUGUUUUUUUGUUUCUUUUUCCUUUCAUGGGGAUGAGUUUAAAGGAGUAUUGGAGAGUA